GCUUUAAAGCACAGCUAUGCCUCUCAACAUAUUUGGCAUGGACAUGGAUGUUCACAGCUACAUAUGAGACGAAAGCAUGGUGUCUGAUCAUCAAACGUCCCGCUACCACCUGUUUUGUUUGGCAGUCAUCCAUACAACGGUCAGACGGGGUUGUGCAGGGUCAGAAUAAAUCUCCAUAAGAUCAGCAAUGACCUGAAACCACCACAGAGGGGCGGCAGAAUGAGACAAAGAUUAGCUUAUAAACCAAUCCAAUCUCUCCUUGACCUGCUACACUCUGCUGCCAGCUGUUUCAGCAUCUUCUCCUGCAUCCUUCUGCAGUGUCCAACCACCAGCUUCAGCACCGCCAAAGGGUCUGAGUGAGCCGUGGCCCCACAGCCCCCCUCUCGUCUGUGGGAGGAACUUCCUCCAUCUCCCCUG